GAAGACGAGCGUCUGGAUAGAGCGUUGCCCUCCGAAGGCAAAGGUCACACGUUCGAAUCGUGUCGGGUGCGCCA
rnacentral:tRNA from 1 species